rnacentral:rRNA from 1 species
UACGGGGAUGGCAAACGUUAUCCGGAUUUAUUGGGCGUAAAGAGAUGCGUAGGCGUUUUGUUAAGUCUUUUGUUAAAGACCCGAGCUUAACUCGGGGAAUGCAUUGGAUACUGGCAGAAUUGAGAAGAUCAGAGGAGAACGGAAUUCAUCGAGGAGUGGUAAAAUACGUUGAGACGAUGAGGAACAUUUAUGGCGAAGGCAGUUCUCUGGGAUUUUUCUGACGCUAAGGCUCGAAAGCGUGGGGAGCAAA